rnacentral:rRNA from 1 species
AUGAACGCUGGCGGCAGGCCUAACACAUGCAAGUCGAGCGGAUGACGGGAGCUUGCUCCUGAAUUCAGCGGCGGACGGGUGAGUAAUGCCUAGGAAUCUGCCUGGUAGUGGGGGACAACGUUUCGAAAGGAACGCUAAUACCGCAUACGUCCUACGGGAGAAAGCAGGGGACCUUCGGGCCUUGCGCUAUCAGAUGAGCCUAGGUCGGAUUAGCUAGUUGGUGAGGUAAUGGCUCACCAAGGCGACGAUCCGUAACUGGUCUGAGAGGAUGAUCAGUCACACUGGAACUGAGACACGGUCCAGACUCCUACGGGAGGCAGCAGUGGGGAAUAUUGGACAAUGGGCGAAAGCCUGAUCCAGCCAUGCCGCGUGUGUGAAGAAGGUCUUCGGAUUGUAAAGCACUUUAAGUUGGGAGGAAGGGCAUUAACCUAAUACGUUAGUGUUUUGACGUUACCGACAGAAUAAGCACCGGCUAACUCUGUGCCAGCAGCCGCGGUAAU